GACGAACGCUGGCGGCGUGCUUAACACAUGCAAGUCGAACGGUGAAGCGCCUUCCUUUUUGGUUGGUGUGGACGAAUGGCGAACUGAUGCGUAACACGUGACUAACCUGCCCCCUUCUACUGGAUAACCGCAUGAAAGUUAGGCUAAUACGGGAUAUUCUGGGUCUGUCGCAUGAUGGGUCUGGGCAAGAUAUUGUUUCGGUGGGGGAUGGGCUCGCGGCCGAUCAGCUUGUUGGUGGGGUGAUGGCCUACCAAGGCGGUGACGGGUAGCCGGCCUGAGAGGGUGGACUGGCUGAACUGGGAGGAGGCACGGCCAAGAUGGGUAUGGGAGGCAGCCGUGAGGAAUACGGGAGGAUGGAGUGAAGACUGAUGCAGAAAGGCGGCGAGACUGAUGGAGGCCUGCGGGGUGUGAGCCUCAGGCGCUAGUGAAGCAGGGCUGCCUCGAUUGUGAGGGGGUUGACGGUAGCUGUAUAAGAAGCGCCGGCUAACUACGUG
rnacentral:rRNA from 1 species